rnacentral:misc_RNA from 1 species
GAAAUGCGAAAAGUAAUGUGAAUUGCAGAAUUCAGUGAAUCAUCGAAUCCUUGAACGCACCUUGCGCUCCUUGGUAUUCCUUGGAGCAUGCCUGUUUGAGUAUCAUGAAAUCUUCAAAGUAAAUCUUUUGUUAACUCAAUUGGUUUCUACUUUGGUAUUGGAGGUCUUUGCAGCUUCACACCUGCUCCUCUUUGUUCAUUAGCUGGAUCUCAGUGUUAUGCUUGGUUCCACUCGGCGUGAUAAGUUAUCUAUCGCUGAGGACACUGUAAAAGGUGGCCAAGGUAAAUGCAGAUGAACCGCUUCUAAUAGUCCAUUGACUUGGACAAUACUUUUAUGAUCUGAUCUCAAAUCAGGUAGGACUACCCGCUGAACUUAAGC